rnacentral:rRNA from 1 species
GACGAACGCUGGCGGCGUGCUUAACACAUGCAAGUCGAACGGAAAGGCCCUGCUUUUGUGGGGUGCUCGAGUGGCGAACGGGUGAGUAACACGUGAGUAACCUGCCCUUGACUUUGGGAUAACUUCAGGAAACUGGGGCUAAUACCGGAUAGGAGCUCCUGCUGCAUGGUGGGGGUUGGAAAGUUUCGGCGGUUGGGGAUGGACUCGCGGCUUAUCAGCUUGUUGGUGGGGUAGUGGCUUACCAAGGCUUUGACGGGUAGCCGGCCUGAGAGGGUGACCGGCCACAUUGGGACUGAGAUACGGACCAGACGCCUACGGGAGGCAGCAGUGGGGAAUAUUGCACAAUGGGCGGAAGCCUGAUGCAGCAACGCCGCGUGCGGGAUGACGGCCUUCGGGUGGUAAACCGCUGUCGCCUGUGACGAAGCGUGAGUGACGGUAAUGGGUAAAGAAGCACCGGCUAACUACGUG